rnacentral:rRNA from 1 species
UACGUAGGGUGCGAGCGUUAAUCGGAAUUACUGGGCGUAAAGCGUGCGCAGGCGGUUUUGUAAGCCAGAUGUGAAAUCCCCGGGCUUAACCUGGGAAUGGCAUUUGGGACUGCAAGGCUCGAGUGCGGCAGAGGAGACUGGAAUUCUCGGUGUAGAGGUGAAAUUCGUAGAUAUCGAGAGGAACACCGGCGGCGAAGGCGGCCAUCUGGACGAGGACUGACGCUGAGAUGCGAAAGCGUGGGGAGCAAACAGG